rnacentral:rRNA from 1 species
UGCAAACGUUGCUCGGAAUUAUUGGGCGUAAAGCGCACGUAGGCGGUUUGUUAUGUCGGAUGUGAAAGCCCUUGGCUCAACUGAGGAAGUGCAUCCGAAACUGGCAAGCUAGAGUAUGUAAGAGGGUCGCGGAAUUCCCGGUGUAGAGGUGAAAUUCGUAGAUAUCGGGAGGAACACCGGUGGCGAAGGCGGCGACCUGGGACAAUACUGACGCUGAGGUGCGAAAGCGUGGGGAGCAAACAGG